rnacentral:rRNA from 1 species
GGUGAACGCUGGCGGUAGGCCUAACACAUGCAAGUCGAACGGCAGCACAGUAAGAGCUUGCUCUUACGGGUGGCGAGUCGCGGACGGGUGAGGAAUACAUCGGAAUCUACUUUUUCGUGGGGGAUAACGUAGGGAAACUUACGCUAAUACCGCAUACGACCUACGGGUGAAAGCAGGGGAUCUUCGGACCUUGCGCGAUUGAAUGAGCCGAUGUCGGAUUAGCUAGUUGGCGGGGUAAAGGCCCACCAAGGCGACGAUCCGUAGCUGGUCUGAGAGGAUGAUCAGCCACACUGGAACUGAGACACGGUCCAGACUCCUACGGGAGGCAGCAGUGGGGAAUAUUGGACAAUGGGCGCAAGCCUGAUCCAGCCAUACCGCGUGGGUGAAGAAGGCCUUCGGGUUGUAAAGCCCUUUUGUUGGGAAAGAAAAGCAGCAGGUUAAUACCCCGCUGUUCUGACGGUACCCAAAGAAUAAGCACCGGCUAACUUCGUG